rnacentral:rRNA from 1 species
GAUGAACGCUGGCGGCGUGCUUAACACAUGCAAGUCGAACGAUGAAGCCCAGCUUGCUGGGUGGAUUAGUGGCGAACGGGUGAGUAACACGUGAGUAACCUGCCCUUAACUCUGGGAUAAGCCUGGGAAACUGGGUCUAAUACCGGAUAGGAGCGUCCACCGCAUGGUGGGUGUUGGAAAGAUUUAUCGGUUUUGGAUGGACUCGCGGCCUAUCAGCUUGUUGGUGAGGUAAUGGCUGACCAAGGCGACGACGGGUAGCCGGCCUGAGAGGGUGACCGGCCACACUGGGACUGAGACACGGCCCAGACUGCUACGGGAGGCAGCAGUGGGGAAUAUUGCACAAUGGGCGCAAGCCUGAUGCAGCGACGCCGCGUGAGGGAUGACGGCCUUCGGGUUGUAAACCUCUUUCAGUAGGGAAGAAGCGAAAGUGACGGUACCUGCAGAAGAAGCACCGGCUAACUACGUG